AUAUCUAUUUGGAAGGAGUGAUGCUAUGAUCACAAAGGUGGUUUCUCCAGGGCAAGGUUUAUCAGUUGCAAUGUGGGGGUACUGACCCCUGCGACUUCCCCACAUGUGGGAACCUCAACUGCGUGAUCUUUGGUGGUAGGGGAAGGUGUUCUCACGCUCCCCUG